rnacentral:rRNA from 1 species
ACUCCUACGGGAGGCAGCAGUGGGGAAUAUUGGGCAAUGGGCGAAAGCCUGACCCAGCAACGCCGCGUGAAGGAAGAAGGUUUUCGGAUCGUAAACUUCUAUCCUUGGUGAAAAUAAUGAUGGUAGCCAAGAAGGAAGCCCCGGCUAACUACGUGCCAGCAGCCGCGGUAAUAC